rnacentral:piRNA from 1 species
UGGUAUAGAUGACUCUAUCCUUGAGCCAAGU